AGCUUUGCGCAGUGGCAGUAUCGUAGCCAAUGAGGUUUAUCCGAGGCGUGAUUAUUGCUAAUUGAAAAGUAUUCUACUUUUAAACACUUUGAACUUGUUCAGUAAAGAAAAUCAUAUACAUAAAAAAUGAAAGUUUUUAAUGGUA